CAGACGAUGCGUCAUGCAUAUCAAUAAGCGGAGGAAAAGAAACUAACAAGGAUUCCCCUAGUAACGGCGAGUGAAGCGGGAAGAGCUCAAAUUUGAAAUCUUAAAGGGUUUCCCUUUACGAAUUGUAGUUUAAAGAAGUGUUUUCUGUUGAGGUUUUGGUAAAAGUUCUUUGGAAUAGGACAUCAUAGAGGGUGAGAAUCCCGUAUUUGACCUUUACUUUCAACUUUGUGAUACACUUUCAAAGAGUCGGAUUGUUUGGGAAUGCAGUCCAAAAUGGGUGGUAAAUUUCAUCUAAAGCUAAAUAUUGGCGAGAGACCGACAGCGAACAAGUACCGUGAGGGAAAGAUGAAAAGAACUUUGAAAAGAGAGUUAAACAGUACGUGAAAUUGUCAAAAGGGAAGCGUUUGACACCAGUGUUGUUUUUCUGAAAAUCAAUUAAAGAACUGUUUAUGCUAAGUUGUUUAGACUUUAUCAGCUAACUGUUUAGUUUUGAGCUUUUCUUUAAUGCACUUUUCAGUUAACAAGUCAACAUCAAUUUCUUUUGCUGUAAAAAAGCUUGAGGAAGGUGGCUUGAGAUUCGUCUUAAGUGUUUAUAGCCUCUUGCCUAUGCAGUCGGAGAGAUUGAGGUCUGCAGCGUAGAUCCUUCGGGGCUAAAUGCAUUUGUGCUAAGUUAUAGCAUUUUAUAGACAACUUGUUGACUAUGAUUUGUCCUGUAGCUUACUCGCUUAUGUUAUUUUACCUACGCUUAGGAUGUUGAGCGCAUGUCUCUCUCU
rnacentral:rRNA from 1 species